CCAUAGAGGCCUAGAGUCUCAGUGCCCCUAACGGGGAUUUCUACCACCCUUGUUUUGUGAGCACCUUUGUUUCCUCGGCAGGUUCGCCUGCCCGCGGGACUUCUCAACCCUUUGCAGUAGUAGUUUUUGUCAGCAACACGCAAAUAUCA
rnacentral:misc_RNA from 1 species